AACGAACGCUGGCGGCAUGCCUAACACAUGCAAGUCGAACGAGACCUUCGGGUCUAUUGGCGCACGGGUGCGUAACGCGUGGGAACCUUCCCUUAGGUUCGGAAUAACUCCCCGAAAUGGGUUCUAAUACCGGAUAAUGUCUUCGGACCAAAGAUUUAUCGCCUUUGGAUGGGCCCGCGUUGGAUUAGCUAGUUGGUAGGGUAAAAGCCUACCAAGGCGACGAUCCAUAGCUGGUCUGAGAGGAUGAUCAGCCACACUGGGACUGAGACACGGCCCAGACUACUACGGGAGGAAGGAGUGGGGAAUAUAGGAAAAUGGGGGAAAGCCUGAUACAGCAAUGACGCGUGAGUGAUGAAGGCCUUAGGGUUGUAAAGAUCUUUUACCCGGGAUGAUAAUGACAGUACCGGGAGAAUAAGCACCGGCUAACUCCGUG
rnacentral:rRNA from 1 species